CCUACGGGAGGCAGCAGUAGGGAAUCUUCCACAAUGGACGAAAGUCUGAUGCAGCAACGCCGCGUGAGUGAUGAAGGGUUUCGGCUCGUAAAGCUCUGUUUGUAGGGAAGAAAGAUAGAGGUAGUAACUGGCCUUUAUUUGACGGUAAUUACUUGGAAAGUCACGGCUAACUACGUGCGAGCAGCCGCUGUAAUACGUAGGUGGCAAGCGUUGUCCGGAUUUAUUGGGCGUAAAGGGAGUGCAGGCGGUUAAAUAAGUCUGAUGUGAAAGCCUUCGGCUCAACCGGAGAAUUGCAUCAGAAACUGUUAGACUUGAGUGCAGAAGAGGAGAGUGGAACGCCAUGUGUAGCGGUGGAAUGCGUAGAUAUAUGGAAGAACACCAGUGGCGAAGGCGGCUCUCUGGUCUGCAACUGACGCUGAGGCACGAAAGUGUGGGUAUCAAACAGGAUUAGAUACCCGGGUAGUC
rnacentral:rRNA from 1 species